rnacentral:rRNA from 1 species
CGCAUCUGUGCAUGCAGCAUAUCAAUAAGCGGAGGAAAGAGGUACCUACGCUUAGGAUGUUGACACACGCGCGUGCUCGACUCUAUACAUGACUCUGUGCAUAUCAAUAAGCGGAGGAAAAGAAACUAACAAGGAUUCCCUUAGUAACGGCGAGUGAAGCGGGAAGAGCUCAAAUUUGAAAUCUUCAAGGUUUUACCUUGACGAAUUGUAGUUUAAAGAAGUGUUUUCUGUUGAAGUUUUGGUAAAAGUUCUUUGGAAUAGGACAUCAUAGAGGGUGAGAAUCCCGUAUUUGACCAUUAUUUUCAGCUGUGUGAUACACUUUCAAAGAGUCGGAUUGUUUGGGAAUGCAGUCCAAAAUGGGUGGUAAAUUUCAUCUAAAGCUAAAUAUUGGCGAGAGACCGAUAGCGAACAAGUACCGUGAGGGAAAGAUGAAAAGAACUUUGAAAAGAGAGUUAAACAGUACGUGAAAUUGUCAAAAGGGAAGCGUUUGACACCAGUGUUGUUUUCUCGAAAAUCAAUUAAAAAGAGUUUGAUUUUGUUGUGUAUUGACCUUAACAGCUUGCAUUUCAAUUUUCUUGCUUUUUUCAAUGCACUUUUCGUUUAACAAGUCAACAUCAGUUUCUUUUGUUGUAAAAAGGUCAUUGGAAGGUGGCUUUCUUUUCGGAGAAAGUGUUUAUAGCCUUUGACUCCUGCAAUCGGAGAGACUGAGGUCUGCAGCGUAGAUCCUUCGGGGUUAGAUACAUUUGUGCUAAGUUAUAGCUUUUUAUAGACAACUUGUUGACUAUGAUUAGUCUUGUAGCUUACUCGCUUAUGCUAUUUUACCUACGCUUAGGAUGUUGACACACGCGCGUGCUCG